CACUCCAUUAACUCUUGAGUGGAGGAGGUCUGUGAACCACGUGUGCAAUAGUGGGUAAUGAAUCAGAAUUGACUAAUUGCCUCCUAGGCAGUCUUAAGCAAGGCCUUAGACUAUGAUUUGUCCAUGUAAAAAUGGAGGAAAACACAGGAAGUGAUGCAAAAGAAAGUGUCUUUAAAAAGAAUUACAACUUUCUGUGAAAAUUCAGUUUUUCAUUCUUUGGAGUGGAGAGUGGAGAAGAAUCUGCUGACAGGGCCCAAGACUGUUCCUGAUGAGGCUGUCCUAAAAUCUCUUCCAUUGGACUGACACAUGACUACACUGAGAGACAUUCUGACAAAACUCCAAGAGGGAAGACUGACAGAAAAGUCCAAACCCACAGAUCCAACACAUAACAAGAGGAGCAAUACUGCAGGCAACAACAGGGGGAAAGAAGGGGCAAAUAUGAGCAAACAACAGAAAAAGAAAAAAGAAAUUACAAUUGACAGCUUCUAUACAGGCAAUGAACAAAGAGCAAAUGGAGAAGAGCAGGACGAAACACCAAACAAUAAAACAGAAAUCCCAACAAAUUGGACAUAGGCUUUGGAAGAACUCAAAAUACAAUUCAAAACACAAUUAAAAGAGGCUGAAAACAAUUGGGAAAAGAACAUAAAAACUGAGAUAAGUCAUCCUGAAACAGAGACAUAUGAACUAAAAUGAAAAAGUAGUGUACUGAAAGUCAAAAUUAACCAGCUUGAAAAUGAGGCAAAGGAGAUGAAAGAUGAGGCAAAGAGGAUGAAAGAUAAUUUCCAAAGAAAAUCAGCUCCAACACCCCUCCCCAACAGACUGCUAAACUUUAAUGCAAUCAAAAGCCUCCACAGGACAGGGAAGCUCAAGAUCCAACAAACCUUCCACAUAGACUGUACUGAGAGAUAUCCUGACAAAGCUGCAAGAGGAUAGACAUAAGAAAACCACAAAAUCAAAAAAACGAGAGGAGCAAGAGCACAAAAAACCACGUGGAGAAAAUAAGGGGUAAAUAUGAGCAAACAACAGAAAAAGAAAAAAAUAAAUUAAAAUCAACAGCUUCUAUACA
rnacentral:lncRNA from 1 species